rnacentral:piRNA from 1 species
UGAUUGAGAAAGUGCAAGAAGCACGAGGG